CCUACGGGUGGCUGCAGUGGGGAAUAUUGGACAAUGGGGGGAACCCUGAUCCAGCCAUGCCGCGUGUGUGAAGAAGGCCCUCGGGUUGUAAAGCACUUUCAGUGAGGAAGAACGCCUGGUGGUUAAUACCCAUCAGGAAAGACAUCACUCACAGAAGAAGCACCGUCUAACUCCGUGCCAGCAGCCGCGGUAAUACGGAGGGUGCGAGCGUUAAUCGGAAUUACUGGGCGUAAAGCGCGCGUAGGUGGCUUGAUAAGCCGGUUGUGAAAGCCACGGGCUCAACCUGGGAACGGCAUCCGGAACUGUCAAGCUAGAGUGCAGGAGAGGAAGGUAGAAUUCCCGGUGUAGCGGUGAAAUGCGUAGAGAUCGGGAGGAAUACCAGUGGCGAAGGCGGCCUUCUGGACUGACACUGACACUGAGGUGCGAAAGCGUGGGUAGCAAACAGGAUUAGAUACCCCAGUAGUC
rnacentral:rRNA from 1 species